GUGGGGAAUCUUAGACAAUGGGGGAAACCCUGAUCUAGCCAUGCCGCGUGAGCGAUGAAGGCCUUAGGGUUGUAAAGCUCUUUCAGCUGGGAAGAUAAUGACGGUACCAGCAGAAGAAGCCCCGGCUAACUCCGUGCCAGCAGCCGCGGUAAUACGGAGGGGGCUAGCGUUGUUCGGAAUUACUGGGCGUAAAGCGCGCGUAGGCGGACCAGAAAGUUGGAGGUGAAAUCCCAGGGCUCAACCUUGGAACUGCCUUCAAAACUCCUGGUCUGGAGUUCGAGAGAGGUGAGUGGAAUUCCGAGUGUAGAGGUGAAAUUCGUAGAUAUUCGGAAGAACACCAGUGGCGAAGGCGACUCACUGGCCCAAUACUGACGCUGAGGCGCGAAAGCGUGGGGAGCAAACAGGAUUAGAUACCCCAGUAGUCC
rnacentral:rRNA from 1 species